AGUUCUUGGCCGGCGAGGGAGCACCUCUCUCGGCUUGCGUUUCUACAAUGUCGCCUCCGAAGAAAGCAACCUGUCCACUGUCUUAAUACUCACCUUUAUACAGAGGAGCAGCUCCACUUCUCUACGUUCACCCCUGUCUUUUAGAACAACUCACUCGUGUAAAUCCUCGACUCGCGGCUCAGCUCUGCAUUCCGGAGAUGCUUACAAAGAGCCGCUCUCUCUCUCUCUCUCUCUCUCUCUCUCUCUCUCUGUCUCUCUGUCUCUCUCUCUCUGUCUCUCGGUCGCUCUCCAUAACAGCAGAUUUGUUAUUAUUCCAAGUUAUCGGCUGUUUUUGACGCUUAUUCUGGAUUUGUCUCACGUUGGCCCAGGCAAUGUUAGCUGUGAGUGUAGUGACUUAGGACUCAUACAGCCCCAGGUUCCCCACGCGAGAGCCAUUCAUCUGUGCGUGUUCCUGAUCGGGCUGACGGGAAGGCAGCAGCAGCAGCAGCGGCAGCAGCAGCCGCGGCGGCGGCGGCAAAGUAACACAGAGAAAAGUCUGGGGGAAAAAACACAAAUCAAGAUGCUGCGUGGAGCAAAAAAAAAGAAAAGAAAAAAAAGAGGAAACGACAUGAAUGACGAUGAAUGAAUUUUGAGAAAGAAUUCAGAGGGCAGGAAAGCGAUGUGUUGACAGCAACUGAAUUAGCAGCUGCGGUGCGGGGCGCGGCGGAGGAGCGGAGGCUACCUGCAGGCCGGAGGGAGACGCGUUUUAUUCUGCUGCAGGGAGGAAGAGGCUCACACACAACACAGACCCACACACCACAACCUGCACCCUGCAACUCAAGACUGCAACUGUCUUCUGUAAUUCAUAAACUUAAACUCAUCACUCAACGUCUCAAGUAGAAAACGUCAAAAGUGUUUGUGUGUGUGUGUGUGUGUUUGUGUGUGUGUGGGGGGUGUAUUAUUUAAAACACAGACCUGAAACCGUUCACUAUGCGAUGAAAAACAAUUAUAAACAAGAACUGCGAGUUUUACUUUUUAAAAAGGAUUUAAAGAGAUUUAGAAGCUUCAAAUGGACAGAACAUCUGAGAAAUGUUUUAUCAUGAAAUGAAUAAGGUGAGUGGAGCUCUGUCGCGUAUCCUCCGUCAGUUUAUGUUGCACUAUGAAAUCAUACGGGCCCAUAUACUGUGAGAGUUUUUCUCGAUCAGCUUCAGCAUCAUCCGUCAGCGGCAGCGCACUGAGCUCAGACCAUGUGCAGAUACAGUUCUAUUCACCAACAGGGAGCAGCUUUCAAAACUUGGUUAAACUUCAGCAUCAUUUCCUUCACCGGAAUUUAUCCUGAUGACACGAUAAUAAUUAACAUGCUGAUACAAAAAUAAUUCAACAGUGAUAAAAUGAUAAAAACUUCCACUCAUCGUUACAAUUUGAUCUAUAUGCAGUUUAACGUAGGAUAGGAUUCAUGGAUUUCAGAAUAAUGUGCCAGUGUGUAACUUUUCUGCUGCACUUUCAUGAUGAUGAUGAUAUAUGAUGCAGUGGAAUAAAUGGAAUCGUCUGCUGCAGAAUAAUCACUCAUCAUUAUUCUAAAUGAGUUCUCGUGAGGAACAUUUAUUAGAUAUUUCACCCAAACUGAACAUGAUCAGAGAAAACAUGGUUAGUCUGCUGGGGUCCCGCUGCUGUCACAGUGUUUCUAAGCAGUCUUUCAAAUUCACAGGGCAUUGGACGGCUUCAGUGUGGCGAGGGUGUGAUGUAAAACGUAGAAGUAUCAUCCAGGGUAAGUCACACACAGUGAACACUGAGUUCCAGGACAAACGAAUGACUCAAAAUAUCUGGUUUAUAACGGAGCAAUUAAGUGAUUGGUCCAUGCAUCCUGGUCACUGGUUCCCUUUUUAAAGUAGUUCCUUGUUUGUCUUUUUUUUCCAAAUUGUUAUGGAUUUUUUAAAUGAAUAAAUACAUGUUAAUCUUCCAAAAUUUGAUAUUUGAGCAGCCAUCUAUCAUCCAUUAAAAUAUAAUUAUUUCAUAUUUCAA